rnacentral:lncRNA from 1 species
AUCUGACGCUCAGGCUCCGCCCCCUGCAUGUCUUUGUUGGCAAACAGUUCUGGGGGUCGUCCGAUCCUGCAGGUUCCCAGGAAACGAUGCCAGCGCUUUGAGUAGCGAAGAGGUGGAGAAAUAGCCCGGGCCGUUUGCAAGCUUUGAAGGUCCAGGCUCUCUUUCACACUCCUCAGUGUCAUCUCAAACUGUCAAACGCAGCCACAUCCGUUAUACAAUACAUGUUUUGUAGUAAAAGUGUUUUGUUGUGCCGUAAGAUACAGAAAGUGUUUUUAAAAAUUAACUUGGCUCUUGCAAUUUGGCUGUCUCAAUUUGUAAUUCACGUUUGGCUCUUACAACUCACUGUCCUGUCCGUUUUCAGGAAUGCUCCUGAUGAGUAAGCAUUCAACUCACAAAUUGCUUUCAAAUGUAACAAAACAAUUUUAUGAAUUAAAUUUAACAGGCCGGGCGCGGUGGCUCACGCCUUUAAUCCCUGCACUUUGGGAGGCCGAGGUGGGCAGAUUGCCUGAGGUCAGGAGAUCGAGACCAGCCUGACGAACAGGGUGAAACCCCAUCUCUACUAAAAAUACAAAAAUUAGCCAGAUGUGGUGGUGG